CUUCUAUAGAGCAUAACUGUUCAGAAGUUACUGAUUUUGUUUAUUGUUGUCUUCCAGAUAUAAAAGAUGCCUCUAUUAAAAAUGCAAAUGAUUUACCAAAGGCAGCAGUUUCAUGGAAAAGGGGAUGUCCUCGACUCCCAGAGACAACCACAAAUCCUGCCACAGCACGGGGAGCCUGGGCUGCCCUGACCUGCCCCUUCCAACUGCAGAAAGAACGGACUGUUACAGUCUCUUCACCAGAAAUCCAGACUCAGCUCUCACAGAUGUACUUUUGAAUCCUCGUGCUUCCCCCUGGUCUCCCUGAGAAUCACCUGGAGCACGUAGUUAACGCGGCACUGACGCUCUCCCCCUGACCCAUAGACACACUCUGGCAGAGCACAGGUGAUGGUGGUUCUCAAAACACACAGUGGGAUCUUUACCAUAAACCCAGGCUGGUAAGCAAUGAUGUGCUUUCAUGUUUCAAUGGGCAUAGAAAUC
rnacentral:lncRNA from 1 species